rnacentral:pre_miRNA from 1 species
GGGGGGAGGCCGGAUCCUGGGCUGUGUCCCGGCGCCCUGUGCUCCCGGCCUGCGCUGUUGGAUUCGCGCUCCCGCCCCGCAGCCCCCU